UACGUAGGGGGCAAGCGUUGUCCGGAAUCAUUGGGCGUAAAAAGCGUGUAGGCGGCCAGAUAAGUCCGCUGUGAAAUCUCGAGGCUCAACUUCGAGCUGUCGGUGGAAACUGUCUGGCUAGAGUCCGGAAGAGGAGAAUGGAAUUCCUGGUGUAGCGGUGAAAUGCGCAGAUAUCAGGAAGAACACCCGUGGCGAAGGCGGUUCUCUGGGACGGUACUGACGCUGAGACGCGAAAGCGUGGGGAGCGAACAGG
rnacentral:rRNA from 1 species